rnacentral:lncRNA from 10 species
AGACUGGCGUCAGCAGGAAAGAUCAGCUCUGCCAUUUGAAACACCCAACUGCUACCUUCUCUCAGAAAUCAAAAGAUGGAGUCUCGCUCUGUCACCCAGACUGGAGUGCAGUGGCGUGAUCUCAGCUCACUGCAACCUCUGCCUCAUGGGUUCAAGCGAUUCUCGUGCCUCAGCCUCCCCAGUACCCUGGAAGUGCUCAGUACAUCAUAUGAGCCAGAGUGCUGGCCAGGAAUGAGACCACGCUUUGCCUGUUGGUCACCGCAUCUCCAGGGAACUCAGAGGCAUCUCCAGGAAACACCUGAAUAUGUGAGCUGGUU